CGUCUUGGUCAAUGAUUUUAGGUGCUUGCACUUGANUGAUUUGACAUUGAGACGAGUGGCGAACUGGUGAGUAACACGUGGGUAACCUGCCCUUGAAGUAGAGGAUAACACUUGGAAACAGGUGCUAAUACUGCAUAACAACGAAAACCGCCUGGUUUUCGUUUGAAAGAUGGCUUCGGCUAUCGCUUUAGGAUGGACCCGCGGCGUAUUAGCUAGUUGGUGAGGUAACGGCUCACCAAGGCAAUGAUACGUAGCCGACCUGAGAGGGUAAUCGGCCACAUUGGGACUGAGACACGGCCCAAACUCCUACGGGAGGCAGCAGUAGGGAAUCUUCCACAAUGGACGAAAGUCUGAUGGAGCAACGCCGCGUGAGUGAUGAAGGGUUUCGGCUCGUAAAACUCUGUUGUUGGAGAAGAACGGGUGUCAGAGUAACUGUUGACAUCGUGACGGUAUCCAACCAGAAAGCCACGGCUAACUACGUGCCAGCAGCCGCGGUAAUACGUAGGUGGCAAGCGUUGUCCGGAUUUAUUGGGCGUAAAGCGAGCGCAGGCGGUUUUUUAGGUCUGAUGUGAAAGCCUUCGGCUUAACCGGAGAAGUGCAUCGGAAACCGGGAGACUUGAGUGCAGAAGAGGACAGUGGAACUCCAUGUGUAGCGGUGAAAUGCGUAGAUAUAUGGAAGAACACCAGUGGCGAAGGCGGCUGUCUGGUCUGCAACUGACGCUGAGGCUCGAAAGCAUGGGUAGCGAACAGGAUUAGAUACCCUGNUAGUCCAUGCCGUAAACGAUGAGUGCUAAGUGUUGGAGGGUUUCCGCCCUUCAGUGCUGCAGCUAACGCAUUAAGCACUCCGCCUGGGGAGUACGACCGCAAGGUUGAAACUCAAAGGAAUUGACGGGGGCCCGCACAAGCGGUGGAGCAUGUGGUUUA
rnacentral:rRNA from 2 species